UACGUAGGGGGCAAGCGUUAUCCGGAAUUACUGGGUGUAAAGGGUGCGUAGGCGGUAAUGUAAGUCAGGUGUGAAAGCCCAAAGCUCAACUUUGGGACUGCACUUGAAACUACAUAACUAGAGUACAGGAGAGGUGAGUGGAAUUCCUAGUGUAGCGGUGAAAUGCGUAGAUAUUAGGAGGAACACCAGUGGCGAAGGCGACUCACUGGACUGUAACUGACGCUGAGGCACGAAAGCGUGGGGAGCGAACAGG
rnacentral:rRNA from 1 species